UCCGGAUUAGCUCCGGCAGUCCCUUUAGAGUUCCCAACUGAAUGGUGGCAACUAAUGGCAAGGGUUGCGCUCGUUGCGGGACUUAACCCAACAUCUCACGACACGAGCUGACGACAGCCAUGCAGCACCUGUGUCCAGGCUCCCUUUCGGGCACCUUCCCGUCUCUGGGAAGUUCCUGGCAUGUCAAGGGUAGGUAAGGUUUUUCGCGUUGCAUCGAAUUAAACCACAUCAUCCACCGCUUGUGCGGGCCCCCGCCUAUUCCUUUGAGUUUUAACCUUGCGGCCGUAGUCCCCAGGCGGUGAACUUAAUGCGUUAGCUGCGGCACUGAUCGGGUCAAUCCGACCAACACCUAGUUCACAACGUUUAGGGCGUGGACUAC
rnacentral:misc_RNA from 1 species